UUAAGCGACUAAGCGUACACGGUGGAUGCCCUGGCAGUCAGAGGCGAUGAAGGACGUGCUAAUCUGCGAUAAGCGUCGGUAAGGUGAUAUGAACCGUUAUAACCGGCGAUUUCCGAAUGGGGAAACCCAGUGUGUUUCGACACACUAUCAUUAACUGAAUCCAUAGGUUAAUGAGGCGAACCGGGGGAACUGAAACAUCUAAGUACCCCGAGGAAAAGAAAUCAACCGAGAUUCCCCCAGUAGCGGCGAGCGAACGGGGAGGAGCCCAGAGCCUGAAUCAGUGUGUGUGUUAGUGGAAGCGUCUGGAAAGGCGCGCGAUACAGGGUGACAGCCCCGUACACAAAAAUGCACAUGCUGUGAGCUCGAUGAGUAGGGCGGGACACGUGGUAUCCUGUCUGAAUAUGGGGGGACCAUCCUCCAAGGCUAAAUACUCCUGACUGACCGAUAGUGAACCAGUACCGUGAGGGAAAGGCGAAAAGAACCCCGGCGAGGGGAGUGAAAAAGAACCUGAAACCGUGUACGUACAAGCAGUGGGAGCACAGAGCAAUCUGUGUGACUGCGUACCUUUUGUAUAAUGGGUCAGCGACUUAUAUUCUGUAGCAAGGUUAACCGAAUAGGGGAGCCGAAGGGAAACCGAGUCUUAACCGGGCGUUAAGUUGCAGGGUAUAGACCCGAAACCCGGUGAUCUAGCCAUGGGCAGGUUGAAGGUUGGGUAACACUAACUGGAGGACCGAACCGACUAAUGUUGAAAAAUUAGCGGAUGACUUGUGGCUGGGGGUGAAAGGCCAAUCAAACCGGGAGAUAGCUGGUUCUCCCCGAAAGCUAUUUAGGUAGCGCCUCGUGAAUUCAUCUCCGGGGGUAGAGCACUGUUUCGGCAAGGGGGUCAUCCCGACUUACCAACCCGAUGCAAACUGCGAAUACCGGAGAAUGUUAUCACGGGAGACACACGGCGGGUGCUAACGUCCGUCGUGAAGAGGGAAACAACCCAGACCGCCAGCUAAGGUCCCAAAGUCAUGGUUAAGUGGGAAACGAUGUGGGAAGGCCCAGACAGCCAGGAUGUUGGCUUAGAAGCAGCCAUCAUUUAAAGAAAGCGUAAUAGCUCACUGGUCGAGUCGGCCUGCGCGGAAGAUGUAACGGGGCUAAACCAUGCACCGAAGCUGCGGCAGCGACACUGUGUGUUGUUGGGUAGGGGAGCGUUCUGUAAGCCUGUGAAGGUGUGCUGUGAGGCAUGCUGGAGGUAUCAGAAGUGCGAAUGCUGACAUAAGUAACGAUAAAGCGGGUGAAAAGCCCGCUCGCCGGAAGACCAAGGGUUCCUGUCCAACGUUAAUCGGGGCAGGGUGAGUCGACCCCUAAGGCGAGGCCGAAAGGCGUAGUCGAUGGGAAACAGGUUAAUAUUCCUGUACUUGGUGUUACUGCGAAGGGGGGACGGAGAAGGCUAUGUUGGCCGGGCGACGGUUGUCCCGGUUUAAGCGUGUAGGCUGGUUUUCCAGGCAAAUCCGGAAAAUCAAGGCUGAGGCGUGAUGACGAGGCACUACGGUGCUGAAGCAACAAAUGCCCUGCUUCCAGGAAAAGCCUCUAAGCAUCAGGUAACAUCAAAUCGUACCCCAAACCGACACAGGUGGUCAGGUAGAGAAUACCAAGGCGCUUGAGAGAACUCGGGUGAAGGAACUAGGCAAAAUGGUGCCGUAACUUCGGGAGAAGGCACGCUGAUAUGUAGGUGAAGUCCCUCGCGGAUGGAGCUGAAAUCAGUCGAAGAUACCAGCUGGCUGCAACUGUUUAUUAAAAACACAGCACUGUGCAAACACGAAAGUGGACGUAUACGGUGUGACGCCUGCCCGGUGCCGGAAGGUUAAUUGAUGGGGUCAGCGCAAGCGAAGCUCUUGAUCGAAGCCCCGGUAAACGGCGGCCGUAACUAUAACGGUCCUAAGGUAGCGAAAUUCCUUGUCGGGUAAGUUCCGACCUGCACGAAUGGCGUAAUGAUGGCCAGGCUGUCUCCACCCGAGACUCAGUGAAAUUGAACUCGCUGUGAAGAUGCAGUGUACCCGCGGCAAGACGGAAAGACCCCGUGAACCUUUACUAUAGCUUGACACUGAACAUUGAGCCUUGAUGUGUAGGAUAGGUGGGAGGCUUUGAAGUGUGGACGCCAGUCUGCAUGGAGCCGACCUUGAAAUACCACCCUUUAAUGUUUGAUGUUCUAACGUGGACCCGUGAUCCGGGUUGCGGACAGUGUCUGGUGGGUAGUUUGACUGGGGCGGUCUCCUCCUAAAGAGUAACGGAGGAGCACGAAGGUUGGCUAAUCCUGGUCGGACAUCAGGAGGUUAGUGCAAUGGCAUAAGCCAGCUUGACUGCGAGCGUGACGGCGCGAGCAGGUGCGAAAGCAGGUCAUAGUGAUCCGGUGGUUCUGAAUGGAAGGGCCAUCGCUCAACGGAUAAAAGGUACUCCGGGGAUAACAGGCUGAUACCGCCCAAGAGUUCAUAUCGACGGCGGUGUUUGGCACCUCGAUGUCGGCUCAUCACAUCCUGGGGCUGAAGUAGGUCCCAAGGGUAUGGCUGUUCGCCAUUUAAAGUGGUACGCGAGCUGGGUUUAGAACGUCGUGAGACAGUUCGGUCCCUAUCUGCCGUGGGCGCUGGAGAACUGAGGGGGGCUGCUCCUAGUACGAGAGGACCGGAGUGGACGCAUCACUGGUGUUCGGGUUGUCAUGCCAAUGGCACUGCCCGGUAGCUAAAUGCGGAAGAGAUAAGUGCUGAAAGCAUCUAAGCACGAAACUUGCCCCGAGAUGAGUUCUCCCUGACCCUUUAAGGGUCCUGAAGGAACGUUGAAGACGACGACGUUGAUAGGCCGGGUGUGUAAGCGCAGCGAUGCGUUGAGCUAACCGGUACUAAUGAACCGUGAGGCUUAACCU
rnacentral:rRNA from 1 species